AGCAGUGUGGGCCAGUGGGAAGCGCUCAGGCUUUGGGGCUGGGAGGAUCUGGGUUUGAAUCCCAGCUCUGCUG
rnacentral:tRNA from 1 species